CCUCCACCUCACCUCAGUGAGGCUAGAAUUCAAAAACAGACAGUUCUUCCAGAGAUCUGAGAAAAAGAGGGCAGAACUGGAACUAGAAGUGGUGAUCUCCGAUUUCUUUCUGGAGCCUCUGAGGGUGUCGUGUAGUUGCCCUGGUCGGGCUCUGGUGUGUCUUGUGAGGCCACCUCGCCUUUGCUGGGUUCCUAGGCUUUGCCAGGCAGACAGCUAGGCACUGCCACUCAUCAGAUUAUAGUUCGUGUUGCUCCCAAUUUAAGAUGAGGAGUCACAGUUCAGAUAGAUGAAAGAAUAUUCCCAGGAGCAUUUACUUAGUAAGUGAUAAAACCAUAUCAUUAUAUUUUCUAAUUGGCAAAUGGGGUUUAGAUUCAACACUGUUCUUUAAAAGUCUUGCAGUUCACAGUGACCAUGCCAGGCAUGUUUCGAAGAGAAUAAUGCCAUUUUUUAUGGCUAUAUUGCCACUACACUCUUCCGCUAAGUUUGGAAUGUAAUAUUUUUAUAUUGUUGUUUUCUCUUGCCAAAUUAUAUCCAUAAUAGUCUUUGAUUUGCAAACAUAAAUACUUCAACAGUGUCUUGCUACAGUGUCAUUAGUGAGCAAACAAGUCACCUGCAACCCGCAGAAAAGUCACUGUAAGUAAAAAAUGAUAAAAAUAGCACGGGACAGUAUGGACAGGCUUCUUCCUGGCUGUUGUUUUUGCUGAUAUGGAAAUGAAAUUGUGUAAACUUUGUCUGUGGGGACAUUUCAUUUAACCAGUUCUUUUCUGAGGAGGGGGAGGGGAGCAUAGUUCAUAUUUUAAGCAAUAGCAGAGGGCUGUCACCCAGAGCUGUUUGUGCAGGUGGGUGAUGUCUAGCUCACAUCUGUUGAGUACUCACUACACACAAGGGACGGGAGCCGUUCGGACAUGGAAGACCUGAUUUCUCUCCUUCAAAAGUUCCUUGUCGUGAAG
rnacentral:lncRNA from 1 species